ensembl:antisense
UCACCCUUCUGGGCCAAACCAUUCUGCUGGCAGAUCCCAUGUGGGAAGAGAGUGAGCAGGGGAGGGUCCAUUCCCCAUCCUGAGGUUGUUGGUGGAAGACGUUCACAGGAUUCCUCCUUCAGAAUGGGCUUGCAUUUCCUGUACACACAGCGAUGGCUGGGCAUCCUGGAAGUGGGGCAGGCAGCUGAAGAACAGAGAAGCAAGGUUUCCACCUCACCCUACCGUACACAUGCUUUGGACUUUGGAAUCGAAGUUCAGGGGGCAUCUUAGACCUGCCAGUUUGAGGACGGACUCGGUCAAGAGGCACAGCGGGGGCCCCUGUGCAGGAUGCUCAUACCGGGUUAAAGAGACGAGCACUCAUGCGAGGUGGGAUGUUACAAAGGUCCCUACAUCUCUUGGUGCUACCCUUGAGAACCGGACCCAGGCCUACAAAGCUCCUCCAAACCCAGACAAUAGAGUCCUUCAAUGCCCAGCUUCAAAAAUGGGGAGGUAAUAAAGGUAACAGGUGGACGGACAGUCCCUUA